rnacentral:rRNA from 1 species
ACGCUAGCUACAGGCUUAACACAUGCAAGUCGAGGGGAAACGACAUUGAAGCUUGCUUCGAUGGGCGUCGACCGGCGCACGGGUGAGUAACGCGUAUCCAACCUGCCUCUGACUAGGGGAUAACCCGGCGAAAGUCGGACUAAUACCUUAUGAGGUUUUCUACAGACAUCUAACGAAAACGAAAGAUUUAUCGGUCAGAGAUGGGGAUGCGUCUGAUUAGCUUGUUGGCGGGGUAACGGCCCACCAAGGCAACGAUCAGUAGGGGUUCUGAGAGGAAGGUCCCCCACAUUGGAACUGAGACACGGUCCAAACUCCUACGGGAGGCAGCAGUGAGGAAUAUUGGUCAAUGGGCGAGAGCCUGAACCAGCCAAGUAGCGUGCAGGAUGACGGCCCUAUGGGUUGUAAACUGCUUUUAUGUGGGGAUAAAGUGAGCUACGUGUAGUUUAUUGCAGGUACCACAUGAAUAAGGACCGGCUAAUUCCGUGCCAGCAGCCGCGGUAAUACGGAAGGUCCAGGCGUUAUCCGGAUUUAUUGGGUUUAAAGGGAGCGUAGGCCGUGGAUUAAGCGUGUUGUGAAAUGUAGACGCUCAACGUCUGAAUUGCAGCGCGAACUGGUUCACUUGAGUAUGCACAACGUAGGCGGAAUUCGUCGUGUAGCGGUGAAAUGCUUAGAUAUGACGAAGAACUCCGAUUGCGAAGGCAGCUUACGGGAGCACAACUGACGCUGAAGCUCGAAGGUGCGGGUAUCAAACAGGAUUAGAUACCCUGGUAGUCCGCACAGUAAACGAUGGAUGCCCGUUGUUGUUCACUUAAGAAUUAGCGACCAAGCGAAAGCAUUAAGCAUCCCACCUGGGGAGUACGCCGGCAACGGUGAAACUCAAAGGAAUUGACGGGGGCCCGCACAAGCGG